CAAACUUUGCCCUUAAACUCCAGCUCAAACAACACCAUGUUAAAGUUUCUUCGACCAUAGAACCCGCCAUAUUGUACUACAAAAAAAGAAUGUCGAUUUAGUGACCAGAAAUUGUCGCCGAAUCUCCAGGGAGAUGUUGUCGUCGUCGCCUACAACUGCUACGGUGGUGGUAAAGAAGAAGGAAGCAACAAAGAAACCAGGAAAGUGAGAGGGCUAGAAAGGGAAGAAAAAAAACUUAUCUAUUGUUUAAAUAAUUAAUAUGGGUUGGU
rnacentral:lncRNA from 1 species